AGAGUUUGAUCCUGGCUCAGGACGAACGCUGGCGGCGCGCCUAACACAUGCAAGUCGAACGAGCGAGAGAGAGCUUGCUUUCUCGAGCGAGUGGCGAACGGGUGAGUAACGCGUGAGGAACCUGCCUCAAAGAGGGGGACAACAGUUGGAAACGACUGCUAAUACCGCAUAAGCCCACGACCCGGCAUCGGGUAGAGGGAAAAGGAGCAAUCCGCUUUGAGAUGGCCUCGCGUCCGAUUAGCUAGUUGGUGAGGUAAUGGCCCACCAAGGCAACGAUCGGUAGCCGGACUGAGAGGUUGAACGGCCACAUUGGGACUGAGACACGGCCCAGACUCCUACGGGAGGCAGCAGUGGGGAAUAUUGCACAAUGGGGGAAACCCUGAUGCAGCGACGCCGCGUGGAGGAAGAAGGUCUUCGGAUUGUAAACUCCUGUUGUUGAGGAAGAUAAUGACGGUACUCAACAAGGAAGUGACGGCUAACUACGUGCCAGCAGCCGCGGUAAAACGUAGGUCACAAGCGUUGUCCGGAAUUACUGGGUGUAAAGGGAGCGCAGGCGGGAAGACAAGUUGGAAGUGAAAUCUAUGGGCUCAACCCAUAAACUGCUUUCAAAACUGUUUUUCUUGAGUAGUGCAGAGGUAGGCGGAAUUCCCGGUGUAGCGGUGGAAUGCGUAGAUAUCGGGAGGAACACCAGUGGCGAAGGCGGCCUACUGGGCACCAACUGACGCUGAGGCUCGAAAGUGUGGGUAGCAAACAGGAUUAGAUACCCUGGUAGUCCACACCGUAAACGAUGAUUACUAGGUGUUGGAGGAUUGACCCCUUCAGUGCCGCAGUUAACACAAUAAGUAAUCCACCUGGGGAGUACGACCGCAAGGUUGAAACUCAAAGGAAUUGACGGGGGCCCGCAC
rnacentral:rRNA from 1 species